rnacentral:lncRNA from 1 species
UUGCAAAAUGGAAGCGUCAACUUUAGUGCUUCAAAAAUGUCUGCUUACAUUGCCCAUUUUUCUUUCAACUUACCAAGUUUGUUUGCUCACCUUUUUCCUUGAGAAAAGGGGAACCUUGAUCAAGUUCAAAGCAACCUGCUGAUAGGAAGUUCUAUCGAUUUCAGAGAGCCAUUCAUGAUGAAGACAGUAACAGAAAGGCAGACUAAGACUUACAGGAUUGAAGAGCAGCUCGUCCCCAUCGGCCUUCGCCGAUCAACUCCUGCCCGCGGUUUCUCUCUUUGUGGUGCCCUUUCUCAUUGGCC